AGAGUUUGAUCCUGGCUCAGGAUGAACGCUGGCGGCAUGCCUAAUACAUGCAAGUCGAACGAGAGGAAGGAGAGCUUGCUUUCCUGAAUCUAGUGGCGAACGGGUGAGUAACACGUAGGUAACCUGCCCAUGUGCCCGGGAUAACUUCUGGAAACGGAUGCUAAAACCGGAUAGGUAGCAGACAAGCAUUUGACUGCUAUUAAAGUGGCUAAGGCCAUGAACAUGGAUGGACCUGCGGUGCAUUAGCUAGUUGGUGAGGUAACGGCCCACCAAGGCGACGAUGCAUAGCCGGCCUGAGAGGGCGGACGGCCACAUUGGGACUGAGACACGGCCCAAACUCCUACGGGAGGCAGCAGUAGGGAAUUUUCGUCAAUGGGGGGAACCCUGAACGAGCAAUGCCGCGUGAGUGAGGAAGGUCUUCGGAUCGUAAAGCUCUGUUGUAAGAGAAAAACGACAUUCAUAGGGAAUGAUGAGUGAGUGAUGGUAUCUUACCAGAAAGUCACGGCUAACUACGUGCCAGCAGCCGCGGUAAUACGUAGGUGGCGAGCGUUAUCCGGAAUGAUUGGGCGUAAAGGGUGCGUAGGUGGCAGAUCAAGUCUGGAGUAAAAGGUAUGGGCUCAACCCGUACUGGCUCUGGAAACUGAUCAGCUAGAGAACAGAAGAGGACGGCGGAACUCCAUGUGUAGCGGUAAAAUGCGUAGAUAUAUGGAAGAACACCGGUGGCGAAGGCGGCCGUCUGGUCUGGAUUCUGACACUGAAGCACGAAAGCGUGGGGAGCAAAUAGGAUUAGAUACCCUAGUAGUCCACGCCGUAAACGAUGAGAACUAGGUGUUGGGGGAAUAACUCAGUGCCGCAGUUAACGCAGUAAGUUCUCCGCCUGGGGAGUAUGCACGCAAGUGUGAAACUCAAAGGAAUUGACGGGGGCCCGCACAAGCGGUGGAGUAUGUGGUUUAAUUCGAAGCAACGCGAAGAACCUUACCAGGCCUUGACAUCCCUUGCAGAGGUAUAGAGAUAUAUCCGAGGUUACCAAGGAGACAGGUGGUGCAUGGUUGUCGUCAGCUCGUGUCGUGAGAUGUUGGGUUAAGUCCCGCAACGAGCGCAACCCUUGUGAUAUGUUACUAACAUUUGAAGCUGGGCACUCUGUGCAGACCGCCCGGGUUAACCGGGAGGAAGGUGGGGAUUACGUCAAAUCAUCAUGCCCCUUAUGGCCUGGGCUACACACGUACU
rnacentral:rRNA from 1 species